UCUUAGACAAAUAUUUUGCUGAAAAAUAACUAUAAAAAAUGCCUGCUUUAGACGAUUUACCAAAUGUGUCCAGCUUCUUUGGGAUCGAUUUGAAAACAGGAUCAAUGAUCAUAGCAGCCUUGGGUGUCGUACACCCAAUGGCUUACGGCUGUUCAUUCUUCGUUCCUCUGAGCUAUCUUCUAGUGACAGUAUGGAUAUUAGUUGCUCUAUAUUUCGCAGCAAGCAUAGUUUUGUUUUGGGGAUUAACGAACGAUGACACUUACCUAUGUGCAAUAUGGAUAUGGUAUGCGCUAAUAUUUGUGGUGGUGAUGUUGAUGAUGAUGAUGUUGUUAGCUCUAGUCUUCACCUCCAGGAAACAGAGGAACCGAGUAGUCGUCGUUAUAUUUGGCAUUUUAUGGUACAUAUUAACCAUUUACUUCAUCAUCGUCGUGAAUAGCUAUCGAAAACAGCUGCUCGGUGCGACAACGUUCACUGAUUCGAUUUUAGACAAGGAUACUUGAAUUCAAUAUAAUUUAUUUGCUUUGAGAAGUUUUAUUGUAUACUAGAACUUAUUUCGUGUUUAUUGAACUCUUUUAUAUAUCAUUUGUAUUCCUAUCGAUAUUUAAGAUCUCACAGAUCUAUUGAAAUUCAUAAAGGCAGUAUUUAGAUAAUCU